rnacentral:rRNA from 1 species
CCGGGCGGCUACAGUGGGGAAUAUUGGGCCAUGGGCGCAAGCCUGACCCAGCAACGCCGCGUGAAGGAAGAAGGCUUUCGGGUUGUAAACUUCUUUUCUGAGGGACGAAGAAAGUGACGGUACCUCAGGAAUAAGCCACGGCUAACUACGUGACAGCAGCCGCGGUAAUACGUAGGGUGCCAGCGUUAUCCGGAUUUAUUGGGUGUAAAGGGCGUGUAGGCGGGAAAGCAAGUCAGAUGUGAAAACUCAGGGCUAAACCCUGAGCCUGCAUUUGAAACUGUUUGUCUUGAGUGCUGGAGAGGCAAUCGGAAUGACGUGUGUAGCGGUGAAAUGCGUAGAUAUACGGAGGAACACCAGUGGCGAAGGCGGAUUGCUGGACAGUAACUGACGCUGAGGCGCGAAAGCGUGGGGAGCAAACAGGAUUAGAUACCCUAGUAGUC